rnacentral:rRNA from 1 species
UACGGGGGGGGCAAGCGUUGUUCGGAAUUACUGGGCGUAAAGGGCUCGUAGGUGGCCAACUAAGUCAGACGUGAAAUCCCUCGGCUUAACCGGGGAACUGCGUCUGAUACUGGAUGGCUUGAGUUUGGGAGAGGGAUGCGGAAUUCCAGGUGUAGCGGUGAAAUGCGUAGAUAUCAGGAGGAACACCAAUGGCGAAGGCAGCUCGCUGGGACGUGACUGACGCUGAGACGCGAAAGCGUGGGGAGCAAACAGG